rnacentral:lncRNA from 1 species
CUAAUUCCACUCUUUGGCUUGGGUUCAACACGAAAUGACAAGGGAACUGAUGCGGGUGAAGAAUCUGCCAGACUUGCAGCUUUGUACUCAUUGGUUAGGGAAGACAAACAACAACAGAGAGAAGGGUUGUAAUAAAGACAGCAUUGCAUUAGGAUAUGGGAGACUACCGCAUGAUAGACCUAGAAUAUAGGAAUGCCAAAGUAAUGAUCCUUUAAAAUCAACGGGGCAUUCCAGAUCAGCUAAGUUAACACUAUGCUAUUACAGUUGGAGGUUCAGGUAUAAGAUGAGACAAAAAUGUUGUAUGAGUUUUAUUAAUGGAAAAGAUUAAAGAGCAUUCCAGGAAAAUACUGAUAAGGCAUGCUUACAGCAUAAGAAAAAACAGUGUUCACCAAUUUAACAUCUGAGUAUGAUGUAACUCACUAAAAACCGCAAUUGUACCUGAUUUUUUAAGGGAAAAAAACUAGAAUGGAAACAUUAGUGAUGAGUAGAUGGAUAAAUUUGUGAAAAGUAAGGAGAACUAUGAAAUUGAAAAGGCAGAGCAGAUGUAUUUUCCAACAACCACAAAGACAAGAAGUUGUGAAAAACUACAAGAUGAAUGAGAACAGACUGACACAGAUGUUUUUCUCAGUUUUUUAGAUUAUGAGUUGUUAACCAUUACAAAGUAAAUAAAUUUUGACCCUAUAAACUACACAUUAGAAGAUACUUGGAUCUGCGUCAUGAAAGAUGUGAUUAGAUGGAUGGUAACCAUCAACCAAAGCACAAACAACCACAUGCUAGGACUGGGAAAACAAGACUUCAUUUAUUAGAAGACGAUAUGGAAACAAAUUAGAAAUAAAAGAGCACAAGAAGGAUAUUUUAAAAGCAGCAAAUGCCCUUUUCUCAGUGCGGCGUAAGAGGCGUUCUGCAUCCUCUUCAGCCUCCAUUUGCUCUUUGAGAUAAAGUAAAUCAUCGCUAUCCAGUGCUGCAUAAACAAAGCUCACGAAGGU